UCCUUUUUGUACUAUUGUUGGGUCUUUACUUCGCAAUAUAAAGCGCUUGUGAUUUGGCGCUACAUAAAUAAAAUUGAAUUGAAAAGGGUUAGUGUCUGUGAAUAGUCAACUGCCACUGACAACUGACUAAUCUGGACCAUUGAAACCACUGAAUAAGAGCCUAUUAUAUAUCAUGAUUAAAAAAAAUCUAAUGAAUGAUGAUAAACUAACCAUUUAUCUGCCUAGCCAGUUUAGGGAAAGUAAUAAAAUUAAGUGUUUUACAAUCACACUCGUUCAAACCCUUUUAAACAGAUUGGUUCAUAUACAAUGCAGUUCUGUUUGGUAUGUAGAAUACACCUUUCAUUAUGGCAAAACCUUUAAAUUGCCUAUAUUAUUGGUGUCACAAAAGAGAAACAGUGGAGACUGUAAUGAUUUCACGCGGGAAGCAUAGAGGCUUGCAAAGUGAAAGGCUGGAGUGGCAGUUUUAGCAAUUUUAUGAGUGGGGGUUCAGUGGAGAGGAGGAAACUGUUAUUUAGGUUUUUUCUAUAAAAUAAAUCAGAGAACACUGUGAUAGACUAAUGAAAUAUUAGCAGUAAUGCAUUGUAAACAGAUGCCAACUGCAGUUAAACCCCAGAGGAAGUGCUUGCAAAUACGUGGCUUCCUGAGGACACAACUUUCUGUUUCAUCACUAAUCCUCCAGCAUUGUUGUUUUGGUGGCGCAGGCUUCUUCCUUGAUACAUCUUCACAUCUUUUUUCAGUGCACCUCCAGGCUGAUCUUUUCAUUUUCCUGACAAAUAAAAACAACUGGACUGUCUGGAUCUGUGCUGGUGAAAGUUGGCACAAUGGCAAAACAAACAGGAUCAUUAGGUAAGAGAGUCCUGUUCAGCACAUCUGCAGCUGUUGAGCCGUCUCAUUUGUGAUGUUAAAAAUCUAUUCUGUCUCCCUUCAGUUUGCAUCUUAGUGCUUUUAUUCGUCACAGUCUUUGCUCAAGUGAUAGUUGGUAAGUGAGAGAAGCAGCACAUUCAGACUGAAUUUAUCUGAAUAUAUAUUACCAGUGCAUGUAGCAUGUGUUAUUUUUAUGAUAUUAUUAACAGAUUAGUUGCUUCACAUACAGAGAUAACAGGACCAGACAAUAGAAGAUGACAUGCAUAGUUGUAAGAAUACCAUAGCUUCCCUUUAUGCUCCUGCACUUUAACUAAUGAUGGUGCUGAAGGUGUUUUUGUCUUCUCCAGCCUGAAUUCCAAACAAAUUAGAUACAUAACAUCCGAGACUACCUCUCAGCAUCAGUAAGACGUCCCACACAUAUUGACACAUAUUGACUGUCUGCUUCACACUUUGUUUGUUAGGAUCUGAUCGCUCAAGAAAGCAGAAGUUGUAAAAGCUUAACAGUUGAAUUAAGAAAACUGUGACUCCAUGAGCGAGCCCUUCACUGUGUCCCCAACAAUACACCACACCAGUGUAGACUAGAUCAAAUAAACAGUUCAUGAGAAAAGCCAGAGGUUUAAUAAUAAGAUAGUCAUCAAACAGGUGACGUGCAAGAAGUUCUGGUGAUAUUUUGUCUUUGUGCCUAAAAGGUGGGGAGUACUUCAAGGACUGUCCAGGAAUUCCCUUCAUCCCUAUUUAUCUUUGUGGACCCAUCAUUGCCUUCUUUGCAUGGUGUAUGUACGGGUCAUGUAACCUGCUUUGUUGGUCCGUGACCACCGUCUUCUUCAUUUUCUGGUACAUUGCUGGUAAUGCAGUGAUCUACAGCAAUUAUAAACAACUUCAGAUUACAGACUACAGCUACUGCAGUCAGACACUCUACCUUUUUGCAUUUUGGAGCACCACUCUGACCAACGUCUUAUUAUUUAUUUGUUGUUGUUGCUAUUGUAAAGAAGAGGCAGAUGAGGUUGAUGUUCAAGUAUAAAUACACACAGAAGGUCAAAAUCAGUGUGUAUGCUGUCUAAUGAGUGUUUUUAUGGGAUAUGUGUAUUUAAAGCAUAUCAUCAAAUGGAUAAUACAUUAUAAUUGACGUGUAAAAUGCAGGAUUUAACAUGUUUAUGUUUUUGUAAAAAUGCUUUUGAUAUUAGCAUGAACUUGAGCUUUUGAUUCAUUAUUACAAAUAAUAUUUUCAGCACUUGAUUACAUGUGCACAUAAAACAGCAAGAUAUAGAUAAAUUAAGGGGGUCUCAAGACUUUUACUUAGUGCUUUAUUAACAACAGAAGUAUAGGAUUAUUGCAGAGAUAGUACCUGUAUUUAGCCUGUUAAUAGCAAAUAUUCAAUAAAAGCACCACAUAUCAAUAUUAGGCCCAGUUUACUUCCUUCUAUAUGUUAAUGAUUUUAUUUACUCCUCUAGUAUUUUAUAUAAAGUAAUGUUUGCUAAUAAUACAAAUCUGUUUUGUCUCAUGAAAACUAGAUAAUCUCCAACAUAUUAUACAUUUAAUAAGUUAUUGUUUGCAAAAAUUAAAAAAAAAAAGUAGUUGUAUUUAACUCAAACAGAAACUAGAAAAAUGUUGACAAUGUAUGUAUGCAGAAAAAUAGUAGUGUUAUCAAGAGGGUAAAAUCUGCAAUAUUUUUGGAAGGUUUGAUGACUUUGUGACUUCCAAGAGGCAAAUUGAUGGUUUUAUGAAAAAAGUUUCCAAAUAUGUUGGUUUAAUUUUUAAAAUUCAGAAAUUGUCCUGAAUGUGAAUCAUUGUGAUAAUUACAUGGUGUAAUAUGUGUCCUGCUCAUUUUAGGAGAUUGCAGACGUUACAAAAAGAGUUAUAUUUAGCUGUAUCAUGGUCCAAGGUAGAUCCCCCUAAUCCUCUUCUUCAUUACAGAUUUCUGAAGUUGU